rnacentral:rRNA from 1 species
UGGGGAAUUUUGGACAAUGGGCGAAAGCCUGAUCCAGCAAUGCCGCGUGUGUGAAGAAGGCCUUCGGGUUGUAAAGCACUUUUGUCCGGAAAGAAAUCCUUGGCUCUAAUACAGUCGGGGGAUGACGGUACCGGAAGAAUAAGCACCGGCUAACUACGUGCCAGCAGCCGCGGUAAUACGUAGGGUGCAAGCGUUAAUCGGAAUUACUGGGCGUAAAGCGUGCGCAGGCGGUUUGCUAAGACCGAUGUGAAAUCCCCGGGCUCAACCUGGGAACUGCAUUGGUGACUGGCAGGCUAGAGUAUGGCAGAGGGGGGUAGAAUUCCACGUGUAGCAGUGAAAUGCGUAGAGAUGUGGAGGAAUACCGAUGGCGAAGGCAGCCCCCUGGGCCAAGUACUGACGCUCAUGCACGAAAGCGUGGGGAGCAAACAGGAUUAGAUACCCUGGUAGUCCACGCCCUAAACGAUGUCAACUAGUUGUUGGGGAUUCAUUUCCUUAGUAACGUAGCUAACGCGUGAAGUUGACCGCCUGGGGAGUACGGUCGCAAGAUUAAAACUUAAAUGAAUUGAC